rnacentral:lncRNA from 1 species
CGUAGCUGGGGCUGGCCAGCUUGAGCGUGCGGAAGCAUAUGUUAUAGAGCGCCUCGUUGUCGAUACAGAAUGACAUGUCGGUGUUCUCCACGAGCUGAUGCACCGACAGCGUCGCGUUGUACGGCUCCAGCACCACCUCGCUUACCUAGCGUACACAACAUGUGUGAUAUUGAACAAGUAGGUACCUAUGUAAAUGGUGAAGUAAAUUAAUAUUGCUGUUAGUAUGUUUCUAAAUGGCUUUCUAAGUAUCUAUAACGAGUUAAAAAACAGACAUUUGUAUCUAUUAACGAGUUAAAGAACGAAACCCUUGAUUUUUACAACAUCCAAAAGUUUGGAUCAACGCCAUCUAGUGUGAAAAAGGUGAACUAAACUUUUCAUGCUUUUUUUUGCAUCGUUUGUUGAAAGUGUCUAAACUCAGCCUUAUAUAUUCAACACACAAAAGUAUACUAAAGUUUAUAUAGAGACACCAGCACCGCAAGCUACUACAAUCUGUAUUUUCCCAAUGAACAUCGAACCUUAUAGAUACUUUAACAUAUAAAGUAGAUAGACAUUGUUUUUAACCGACUUCAAAAGAAGGAGGGUCUAUAAUAAAACAGUAUGCAAUGAUUAAGGUCUUCGUAGCUGUGGCUGGCUAGCUUGAGCGUGCGGAAGCAUAUGUUAUAGAGCGCCUCGUUGUCGAUACAGAAUGACAUGUCGGUGUUCUCCACGAGCUGAUGCACCGACAGCGUCGCGUUGUACGGCUC